AUGAACGCUAGCUACAGGCUUAACACAUGCAAGUCGAGGGGAAACGAUAUUGGAAGCUUGCUUCCGAUAGGCGUCGACCGGCGCACGGGUGAGUAACGCGUAUCCAACCUGCCCAUCACUUGGGAAUAACCUUGCGAAAGUAAGACUAAUGCCCAAUGACAUUUAUAGAAGGCAUCUGAAAUGAAUUAAAGAUUUAUCGGUGAUGGAUGGGGAUGCGUCUGAUUAGCUUGUUGGCGGGGUAACGGCCCACCAAGGCGACGAUCAGUAGGGGGUUCUGAGAGGAAGGUCCCCCACAUUGGAACUGAGACACGGUCCAAACUCCUACGGGAGGCAGCAGUGAGGAAUAUUGGUCAAUGGGCGAGAGCCUGAACCAGCCAAGUAGCGUGCAGGAUGACGGCCCUAUGGGUUGUAAACUGCUUUUAUAAGGGAAUAAAGUGAGCCUCGUGAGGCUUUUUGCAUGUACCUUAUGAAUAAGGACCGGCUAAUUCCGUG
rnacentral:rRNA from 1 species